UUUGGAUCUGAGGAAUGGAUGCUGCGAGCCCUCGCUCGACUCAAACAAACAGGAUGUUGUCAAGUUGCCCCCUUUGCAACUUAGAUUAUAAAAAUCUAAGCCAGCACCUGAAAGUGACACACCAGGUCAAAAACAGUGAGGAACUGAGGCUCCUGCUCGCUUACAGCUCUGGGAGGUUUAAGAGUAAUGAGGACCUGGUGUGUCUAAUUUGUGAUUUGCCCUGCAAAAGGCUGGAUCGUCAUCUGGCGAUCGUUCACAAACUCAAU